rnacentral:rRNA from 1 species
UGAACGCUGGCGGCAGGCUUAACACAUGCAAGUCGAGCGGGGAUAGGGUGCUUGCACCUGAUUCCUAGCGGCGGACGGGUGAGUAAUGCUUAGGAAUCUGCCUAUUAGUGGGGGACAACGUUCCGAAAGGGACGCUAAUACCGCAUACGUCCUACGGGAGAAAGCAGGGGAUCUUCGGACCUUGCGCUAAUAGAUGAGCCUAAGUCGGAUUAGCUAGUUGGUGGGGUAAAGGCCUACCAAGGCGACGAUCUGUAGCGGGUCUGAGAGGAUGAUCCGCCACACUGGGACUGAGACACGGCCCAGACUCCUACGGGAGGCAGCAGUGGGGAAUAUUGGACAAUGGGGGGAACCCUGAUCCAGCCAUGCCGCGUGUGUGAAGAAGGCCUUUUGGUUGUAAAGCACUUUAAGCGAGGAGGAGGCUUACCUGGUUAAUA